AUUGAACGCUGGCGGCAGGCCUAACACAUGCAAGUCGAACGAAAGGAGGACGGGUGAGUAAUGUCUGGGAACCUGCCUGAUGGACGGGUAUAACUACUGGAAACGGUAGCUAAUACCGCAUACCAUCAUAUGGGCCCACGUGGGAUUAGCUAGUCGGUGUGGUAACGGCUCACCAAGUCGACGAUCCCUAGCUGGUCUGAGAGGGUGACCAGCCACACUGGAACUGAGACACGGUCCAGACUCCUACGGGAGGCAGCAGUGGGGAAUAUUGCACAAUGGGCGAAAGCCUGAUGCAGCCAUGCCGCGUGUAUGAAGAAGGCCUUCGGGUUGUAAAGUACUUUCAGCGGGGAGGCGUUACCCGCAGAGGAAGCACCGGCUAACUCCGUGCCAGCCGCCGCGGUAAUUC
rnacentral:rRNA from 1 species